rnacentral:snoRNA from 1 species
CCCUUUUCAGGCUCGCACUUGGAGAUUUUCCAGUACUCUACCAGUCUCGACUACGGGAGGGAGAGUCAAACAGAGGCCUGUCCAUUCCAUUCCUAACUUGGGCAGUGGCUAGCGAGUGGAAGGCAAUCUGUUACAAGU